UUGCACUGCACCCCGCAACCUCCAAUCUACCAGCACUGCUCGACUGGUUCCUCCAUCUCUCAGGGAACCCACUUUGGCUUCAGCUUGCUCAUCUUUCUGUUAAAGUGGACAAGCAAACAGAUCUCAUCUAUGUGACCAGAUUCUUUCUUCUGAUGCCUGCCAGAUUCCAAUGUCUUCAAUAAUGCCACAGUAGUCCCAGCCUGAGACUGUCCAGCACCAGGAGUAGCCAUAGCCAUGAGUGUGAUCGGAUCUGCAAAGCUCACCCUUGCACGUGACAUGAGGUACUGGAUAGCAGUAGUCCCACCCUUCACGUUUCACGGUACACCAACACAAAGUACUACAAAAACACAUUUGUAUUACCAUAGUAUUACUCAUUGUGUUCAUUGAUUGAUAAAAAUACCCCCUCGGCCAGCUGCCCCAGCAGGUUCCGCCAUAAUAGUUGCCUGGGUUACGUAUAUACAGUAUGUGUGGGGUGGAGCUAUCAAAACAGGGGUGACACUCAUUUGGGUUAGGGGCGUGUUUGUUUUGGUGAAUUCAAAUGUCAACAUUGGCUUUCAGACAUUGAAAACGACAACUAGAAACAAACUAGAAACAAGUGAGAAGAGAUGCUGGUUUUCAAAGACCAAGAGCUGCUACAUCUACAAUCACUGGCAAAAAUUCAAGUUAAACCUUAUUUACUGUAAGUUCACACCAACUCACCAACAACUGGGUGCUUAUUAAAUUUGUGUAAAUAAUAGCACAUGUCUAUGCCAUGUGUUGAUGAAAAGAAAAGAAAAAAAUGGUUGUAUUGGAUAUUUUACAGAUGUUUUUAAAAUGAAAUAUAUCCAUGUUUUAUGUUGGAUUUAGAUUUGUGUCUGUUCAGUUUAUAUUUGUACAGUGUGAUACAUCAGAUUAUGAAUAUCCAGGAUUAUUAACCCCAUAGAAAUUAUCAGCAGAGUGAAAUGUGAAGGAUUUUCCCCAGCGCAAACGGCGACAGAAAAGGAAUGUUUUGUUUUGUUUUAUUGAAAUAGAAUGAUAGAAAUUGAACAUUUUGAACAAUAUUUUUGCAGGUA